rnacentral:rRNA from 1 species
CAGCCGCCGCGGUAAUACGAAGGUCCCGAGCGUUGUUCGGAAUCACUGGGCGUAAAGGGAGCGUAGGCGGCGUGAUAAGUCAGAUGUGAAAUCCCGGGGCUCAACCCCGGAACUGCAUCCGAUACUGCCAUGCUAGAGGAUUGGAGAGGUAGCUGGAAUUCUUGGUGUAGCAGUGAAAUGCGUGGAGAUCAAGAGGAACACUCGUGGCGAAAGCGAGCUACUGGACAAUGACUGACGCUGAGGCUCGAAGGCCAGGGUAGCGAAAGGGAUUAGAUACCCGGGUAGUCCCUGUCUCUUAUAU